rnacentral:sRNA from 1 species
CAUUUCUGCUCCUAAUUUUCUCUAGACCCUAAUUUUCUCUCUCAAUUCAUUUCUGUCUUCGUACAUUUUCCUCCAAAAAGUUCACCAUAAUCAUUUUCCUCCAAGCCCCGCACCAUCUUCUUGUUGGUCUUCCCUUGCGUUGUGUUCGUGUCGAGGCGUCGAGAAGUUGUGUUCGCUCUCGGAAUUCCUCGCAGCUGCGAGUGUCUCCAUUAACGUCAGGGAGACUGUCUCACAGCAGUGAACCUUUGAGCGGUGUGGUGCUUCUUUAACUGGAACGGACAGUCCACCAAUCUCUCCUUCUUAUGAGUUUGACGAUGUUGUCAAGGUAUCUCUAUGUUCCUUUCCACUUUCUUUUCUGCCUAGGUGGAACUUUCACCUACCCCACUGCUUACUUUCUCACAAGUACAAUAAUAUUUUUGUAACUAUUCUCUCACUUUUGUUCUUGUUCCUCUUCCCAAUCUCACUUUUGAAUGUUGUUGUAUCUUGCUUCCUAGAACUAAUGCUACGUGUGUAAUAGUAUAUUUCAGCAGUUAAUUUUGAAAUGCUGGAUGUGCUUUAAAUUAGCCUUAAACAUGUUGAAUUGAUUUCGAUAAUAUUCAUGUUAAAUUAGCCUUAAACUAUGCUACGUCUGUAAUGCUUUUUUCUUUGUCAUAUAAUCAUGAAAAACUUAAUUGAAUCAAAUAUAAUGACUUUUAGCUUUUACUACAGAUCAAAAUAGGUCAAGACGCAAAACAGAUUCAGUAAUCAACAACUAAAUGGUUCAAGGAGAAAGAAAAUGCACAUAGAUUUGUGGUUUUGAAAGUGACUUCUAAUUUGAUAAACAAUUAGCCAAUUCUGACCAUAACAGGGCCUUAAGUAGGAAAAUUAAACUUUGUUAGGCUCACUGAUG